rnacentral:rRNA from 1 species
AACGAACGCUGGCGGCAUGCCUAACACAUGCAAGUCGAACGAGACCUUCGGGUCUAGUGGCGCACGGGUGCGUAACGCGUGGGAACCUGCCCUUAGGUUCGGAAUAACUCCCCGAAAGGGGUGCUAAUACCGGAUAAUGUCUUCGGACCAAAGAUUUAUCGCCUUUGGAUGGGCCCGCGUUGGAUUAGCUAGUUGGUAGGGUAAAAGCCUACCAAGGCGACGAUCCAUAGCUGGUCUGAGAGGAUGAUCAGCCACACUGGGACUGAGACACGGCCCAGACUCCUACGGGAGGCAGCAGUGGGGAAUAUUGCACAAUGGAUGGAAGCCUGAUGCAGCAACGCCGUGUGCGGGAUGACGGCCUUCGGGUUGUAAACCGCUUUCGCUCAUGACGAAGCUUUGUGUGACGGUAGUGGGUAAAGAAGCACCGGCUAACUACGUG